UGGGCAACAACGAGGACAAGUUCUACACCGACUGGGAGGAGAGCUUUGAGAGCUUCGACCAGAUGAACCUGCACGAGAACCUGCUGCGCGGCAUUUACGCGUACGGUGAGUAGAUACUGCUUUAUUAUGCUGAAGAUCAUGGUUGCUAGCUUUUGGAAGCACUGGCGCGGUCUGGGCCGGGCCAUCGGCGUGGCGCCCUUCCUCGGUGUUGCGGGCCAAGCAGAGGAGCUCGCUGCGCUGGUCGGUUCAAACUCCGGCAGAUCAUUUAGCAGUAUUCAACAGCAGUCGCGGGUUUGGCCUCUUGCGCGGGAGGUGCCUACCUGUUGCUCAGGCCGAUGGAGCUGCCGACAGGGUCGGGGCCAAUCAGCAGCUGCUACCAGGCUUCAAGCGGCAGCAGCCAUGUUAUGGCUGCGGCUGCACUGGGUGGUCGCAGCAGCGGGGCGAGAGCGUCCGCGUGGUAGCUGAAAGGUCACUGGCGCAGUUUGAAUCCUCGGAGUGGCCACGGCGCAACCACUGGACUUCGGCGUGCGAACCGCUCAGCGGCCAGACUUGCUAGCCUGCAAGCCCGGGAUAUGCGCAGUCCAGCACGUGCUAUACCUCCAGCAUGUGCGGUCAAGCCGGGCACGGAGCACAGCGGGGACGGCGUGGCAGGGGCUGUGGGGCCCGGCAAAGCGGCCAGCUCCGUGUGGGCGGCUGGACUGCUGGCGCGCUCGCAGACGGCAGUCCAGCUCUCACCCCCUGUAUGCGGGCCACAUUCCGGACUGGAGGCUGGCACUGACCAUGUUGCGGCCUUGUAGCCUCGUAGCACCUACUUGCCUGCGACUCCCUUGCCCCGCGACUGACCUAGGUCUGCUGCCCGAUGUGCGCCAUGCCCCUGUUGCGAUGACCAGGUUUCGAGAAGCCCUCGGCCAUUCAGUCGAAGGGUAUCGUGCCGUUCACCAAGGGCCUGGACGUGAUUCAGCAGGCCCAGUCGGGCACGGGCAAGACCGCCACCUUCUGCGCCGGCAUCCUGAACAACAUCGAUUACAACUCGAACGAGUGCCAGGCGCUGGUGCUGGCUCCCACCCGUGAGCUGGCGCAGCAGAUUGAGAAGGUCAUGCGCGCCCUGGGCGACUUCCUGCAGGUGCGUGGAAGGACUGGGAGGAACGGUGGGAAAGAGGGCGUGCAGUCUGCCGGCGCCGUGCACAGGUUGCAGCGCUGGGGACUUUGGCAACAUAAGCGCAGAAUCGGAAGGGAUUGCGCAGCGACCUGCAACGGAAUUUUCACGUCUUUUGCCCACCCUCUUCUUGGUAUACAGGUUAAGUGCCACGCCUGCGUGGGUGGCACCAGCGUGCGUGAGGACGCCCGCAUCCUGGGCGCCGGCGUGCAGGUCGUGGUCGGUACCCCCGGCCGUGUCUUCGACAUGCUGCGCCGCCGCUACCUGCGCGCGGACUCCAUCAAGAUGUUCACCCUGGACGAGGCCGAUGAGAUGCUGUCUCGCGGUUUCAAGGACCAGAUCUACGACAUCUUCCAGCUGCUGCCCCCCAAGCUGCAGGUGAGCCGGCUGCCAGCAUUGCAUGGGCUUGGUCUGUCGCUUGCAAUUGCUUGUAGAAAUCUGCGCGGUCGACGUGGGAUUGGAAGGCGGCGUGAUUGAACUGCACCAGAUGGCAAAGACGCUGAGCAGCAAGGACGCGGCGGAAUCAGCAGCUGUGGCGCGAGCGGCCGGGAGCGUCGUGGAGCAGUGGGUUGCCAGCGUGGUGGAUGAUCACACGCGCCAAACGUCCUGAUGAAUGGCAUGGUAUCCACGAGUGGGGAAAAGACAUGUACUGGCGCUCUGACAUGCCUGCUUAUCUGCCGUGUGCAGGUCGGUGUGUUCUCCGCCACCCUGCCCCCUGAGGCGCUGGAGAUUACCCGCAAGUUCAUGAACAAGCCCGUAAGUUGGUUGCCCGUGGAGGUGGGCGGAAAGGCAGUGGGGAUUUGAGAAUGCCAGAUCGGUUUGGGGUUCGAAGUUAUUGAGCCUGUGAGCUGGAUGAGUGCCGCGCUUACUGGCUCCCAAUUCUCGUCAAACGCCUCUGUAGGUGCGCAUUCUGGUGAAGCGCGAUGAGCUGACCCUGGAGGGUAUCAAGCAGUUCUACGUGAACGUGGACAAGGAGGAGUGGAAGCUGGACACGCUGUGCGACCUGUACGAGACGCUGGCCAUCACCCAGUCCGUCAUCUUCGCCAACACCCGCCGCAAGGUGUGGGCGGGGACGCGCGGGGGGGGGGGGCGCCUGGGGAUGCGCGAUGGGGACCAACCAGCUUCAUUUGGCACAGCCGGCAAACUUCUGAGGGCAGGGCGGCCCGGCUAACGUGUUUGUGGGAACGGUUGCCUAGCACCCUGUUGUGUUGCUAACGAAUUAUGCCCAUGCUGCCGAUGCAAUCCGCAGGUGGACUGGCUGACGGACAAGAUGCGCGAGCGCGACCACACCGUGUCCGCCACCCACGGCGACAUGGACCAGAACACGCGCGAUGUGAUCAUGCGCGAGUUCCGCUCCGGCUCGUCGCGUGUGCUGAUCACCACCGACCUGCUGGCCCGCGGCAUUGACGUGCAGCAGGUGUCGCUGGUCAUCAACUACGACCUGCCCACCCAGCCCGAGAACUACCUGCACCGCAUUGGUCGCUCGGGCCGCUUCGGACGCAAGGGUGUUGCCAUCAACUUCGUGACCAAGGUAAGCGGCUGGGCAAGGAGGUCAAUGAAAGGCGAUGUUCGGAACUCUUGCUGGAGCCGAAUAUGGAUUGGGAAAGGGUGCUUGGCCGGCGCGUGUCAGCGCUGAAGCAUUGAUGACGCGAUGAUGAGAGUGGCAGUAAGGCGUGCUGCUGUGGAACGCGGGACCUGGCACCUGCUGACUCUCAACCAUAUCCUUGUGCCUUUGCAGGACGACGAGCGCAUGCUCCAGGACAUCCAGCGGUUCUACAACACCGUGAUUGAGGAGCUGCCCUCGAACGUCGCUGACCUCAUCUAAGCGCUCUACUACCACCAAAUGUGCGCUAGCCCCUGGGUCCAGCCGAUCCCAAGCACGGGGCGAAGCCUGCAGGAUGUGAAGGGCACGGGGCAGGGCGCGCCGCCACGCAGCCGCCCCGUGACCCGACAACGUGCUGUACGUGCUGCGCUGCGAGUCCUUUUGAACACGGGCCGUCGUUGCGGGUGGUAAACGUGAACCUGUGUUGAGGCGGGUCGGCGCAGCUUCGGUUGCAGCCAUUUGAGAGAGAAGGAAGUUUGCCGGUUUGCAAACGGCAGGAGUUUUGUCGCGACCGCCAUAUGUUUGACGCCUUUUGAGAGUGCCACACCGCUGCCCAACCUAUUCGUAUGACUGUAAGGACGCAAGUCUGCGAUUCUUCGGCACUUCUCUGGGAUAGGGACAGGGUGGCGGAAAAGUUGGGACCCAGCUGGGUGGGGUAAGCACAAGCCAGGUGUCGCAGCGGCUGCGCACAUGCCGGGCGGGGCAGGGGCCAGCACCUUCCCCCAUCGAAAGUGUUCAGACUCGCAGACCGGACAGCAGGGACAACUGGCCAAAGGAUCUCAGCCUCCAAGAGGACGAGGUUAUGGCCCCCUUCACCGUCAGCAAUUUCCGGGAUGGCUUGGCUGCAGCGUGGCAUACCCGUUGCAGGUUGGGGCUGUCCCCAAUCGCCAAUCCUCUGUGGUUCAGCAUGGCAGUAUUAAAAUCCCCAAUUUCGUAACAUUGCAUGUACAUUCCAAUAUCGUUAAUCGGAAGCAACGUCCAAGAAAGGCCAAAGUAGUUCGUUCCAUUAUUUUAGACUGUUCAACCCCGCCGUGGACGCAUAAUCGCACAGUGUUUUUCACGCUUAUUUGCACUGUUUUACAAAUGACUGACGGACCUGCUCUGCCUUGGGCUGCUGGCGAGAACGCCGAGGCUGUGGCACAACAAGAGGCCACUGACGAUGUAGCCCCUGCGCCUCGUUCAAUCCUCAGGAUGGAGGAGGCUGGGCUCACAGCAGGGGCCCGGCUGGAGGUGUGUAGCUGCAUUUUUGCACUUGGAAUGUCCCCGCCAGCUGCUCGACAGCCGUUCUCGCCUCGCCCCAAGCGGGCCCGCUCACGGCGACAUGCUGGCUGUCGUCGCAGGUCAAGUGGAAUGUAGAGCCGGACGAGGGCGAGGCCUACACGCGGGUAUGUGUGUCAGCUGCGAGCCCGGCAAGGCCCACCUGUCUGUGCGGUGCCCGACGCCCUUUCCCUUGUCGCUUCUGCAGUGGUGGGGAGCAACGCUGGUGGGACCCAGCACUGAGAAGCACCCUGAUCACCCUGACGCAUCAGUCUACGAGCUUGCGUGAGUUGGGGGCUGCGGCGGUGCCAAUCAACUGCAGUUAUUACGGCUUGCUGCCGAGGACGGUUCGUGCACAGCACAAGCGUAAAACGCCCCAUCCACACACGCAGAUACGACGCCCAUGAUGACUUCGACCAGGAAAAGAGCCAUGUCGUCUUGAUGGGAGAGCGUGAGUUGCUGCCGCUUCUCCUCAGGCAGCAUAAAGUUAGACAGCUGCACCGGGACUCUGAACUGAAUGUUCCCACCCCCAGCCAAGGUUCCCACAUUGCUUGUCUGUCCUGCAGACUCCCUUCUACAACUGGACCAGACCGAGGAGCUGACAUGGCGCCGCGAGGGUGACGAGUGGGACGAGGUUCCUGAGGUGAGCGGCGCAGCUUCCACAUGCGCUUGAGACCGUCUCAUCUCUUCAGGGUUUGGUGCAUUACAAACCGCGUGGGACCCGGCGCUGUCCACCCUGUUGCACGUCUACGACUGGGGGUUACGAGUACCAAAACCACAUUGCGCUGGACUGCACAACAAGCUAUGAUCCACUGCGACAGCGCGCACUCUACCUGACGUAUCAGAGCUAGGGUUGGCACGAUGCUGUGUAUAUAGAUAUCUAGUAUACCAUUGCAUAGCGCUACACCGAUAUGCUAUGUGACGGCCGCGUUAUCUAGUGCAUAUGGCCUUUCGUGCUGCCUGCAAAGCAUCGGCUGUACAGCAUAGAUAGUGUUGCACAGCUGGCCAGGCAUAUGUACAUGUGAGACACGGCGGUUGCCCGAUACAUUCUGCGGCCCAACCAGCGGUGCAUCCCGCCCUGAGCCCAACCUUAACCUGUGUACGUGUUGGGCCAUGCACUCAAGGGGUUAUGCCUCUGCUUAUAGGUCCGUAGAUUCCGUACGGUGAGGGCCAGGGCGCGGGCGGUCCGGUGGGUGGCAGCGAGAGUGCGGUGUUGCAGCGGUUGCUGCAGGCAGCAGCGCGGCCGCGGCGGCUGCAGCAGCAGCAGCAGGGUGGCCACUGAUGGGGGCAAUGCAUGGCAUUGGGGCGGCGCUUUGCAGCGGCGGCACCGGCGCAUACGGUCAGCAGCGGCACGGCGGCGGCAGAGGGUGGCAGGGCAACGCGCACGUAGCGUGCCGCGCCCACCCUCACAGCGGUGCGCCGGACCCUUGCCAUGCUGUCGGGCUGGCCUAUGUCAUUGCGUGCAAGCGGCAAACCCAAUAUUCAGGUCAUAUAGUGGCACCGCCGAGGAGGUGGGGGCCGGGGGCGCGGGGGGUGACUGGCGGCGCGGCAGGGCGGCCCACACGGGCUCUCGGCGACAGCCACAUGUUGGGGCGCCGUGCUUGUGCCCAAACUUCAAUACGGUACUUGUUUCACGUCCCGAAGUUACCAAGCCAACCAGCGUGCGCACCGUAUAUGGCAUGGCAUGCGGAUACUCGACUAGCAUCAUUAUGAAGAGGCUACAUAACACUAGAGGUUUUGGCUAUCUAGCCCUUCUUCCAACUCUAAUUUAAUCGCACUCUUUUGGCGCCAACGACGCUGCAGGAUGGUGACGAUGAGGAGGAGGUGGUGGACGGCGAGGCGGUGGUGACCAUGGAGGACCUGGCCGAAGAGGAGAAGUGAGUCGACGCGGGGUUUGUAGGGCAGUGCGAAGUAAGGAUUCAAACCGAUGGGGCGAAAUCUUCCGCACUCCUUCGGUCGCUGACGAUGCGUGUGCCGCGCCGACUCAUACGUGUUGGCAGCAUGCCGUUGCAAGGGUAAACCGCGGUGCGGCAAGAAUGCAGCAGCUUUGCAACUCCAGCCUGCUGCGGCACUCUUGCGCGCAUGGCCACUUUACACCCCUAGGCCACCAUCCCAUCUACGGCCCAACGCGCCACCUUCUCCCAGCCUACACUCCCAUUCCUGCGCUUGCCCAACUCCCACGCCUGGCCCGGCCUCAGGGAGCUGCUGGGCGGCAAGACGCUGGAGGAGGCGGAGAGCGAGGCGAUGAGCACCCUAGAGCCCGCCAAGCGCAUCGCGGUGGCGGCUGGCUUCCGUGACUUCGCCGACAACCUGGUGUGAGUAGCCGAGCCGGACUGAGACAUUGCGAGGGUGUGUAUGGUUUUGCCGUCGCAAGGCGGCCAGUCUUUCACCUUGACGCAUAGCAAUUAAGAGCGACCGCGGCUGGCCGACACCGCCGCUACCAGAACCGAACACCAGCAAAACGCUUCGCUGCUGUGCCCUGCCCCUACAUCGCUAGCCCCCACCCACCCUACAUAAUGUCCCCAGGGUCUGAGUCACUGGUUUGGUGCAGACGGACCCCACCCCAACCACCUCGCCCUUGCCCGCACAGGUCGUUCCUGCACGAUGUAGUGGGCAGUGCGCCCGAGUCAGACGGCGGGCCGCCCACCGUCACGGCGGAGCACGUGCAGGCAUUUGUGGAGCACAUGGCGAAGAAGCAGCGCACCCGGUGAAGCUGAGGUUCGUGCAUUGGCGCCUGUAGGCGGCUGCCCCCUGGCAGGCCCCAGUGCCCAUGUAAUGUUGAUUUGCACAUUGACGGCGGGGGCUGGGCGUGGCGCAGGAUGAGGAGGGGUCCCAACGUGGGCAGGGUGGCAGCCAUUCGGCUUCGGCAGGACUCAUGGACCGCCAUGGCGGACUAACAAACGUAUUACAGCCCUAAUAACAUGAGUUUCAUCAAGUCUGAUAACAUAGAUGGUUGUCCGUUGCUUGCAUUGAACACAUGGCAUGCAUACCGUACGGUAUGCUGCACUGAUUGCAGACCAGGUUGAGUUGAUGAGUGGCCGCACACACGAGAUGUGUUACGACUUCACGCAUCUAUUCGCAUGAAGAAUCGCUUAAGGCUGACCCAGGCAUUAAGACCGCUGUGAACGCAUGCACGCGCGUGGCCUUGCGCUUUGAUUACCGCUCAAGAAAUAGACGUCGGGUUUAACUUUCUCUGUAACAUGUGAUACAUGGCAGCGUACGUGAAUGCCGUAGAAUCGAGUACAUGCUGGCAGCGCGGCGCAGCGUCUAAUACUGUACGGGCGUUUCUCUUGGGACCUUCCUGCCUCUUUUGGGGUCCCCUCACUCCUCAGGCCUCAUUUGGCACUCGCACACCAACUUCACGAUGAUGACACAAAAUACGUAUCGGAGAAGGCAAGAGCACGACGUCGUUGAGGCUUGGGCGCUAACUGAUGGUCAAGGCGGGGGGACGGACACGUGCCAUGCGGGCCUGGAAGACUGCCUGAGCUCGCGACAACCCAACCGUGUCUGCGAGCGAGGCCGCGCUGGUGUUAUCCCCAGCCGUGCUGAUAUCAAUGGUUGCUUGCAUUAGGUGCUGAGUCACAUUGUAACCGUUGCGCCUCGGCCUGGUGCUUGCGGGGCAUCGACCCUUUGAUCUUCAUCAGUGUCGUCGGUUGGGCGCCUAUUAGCAAAUGCCGUCUGUGAUAUUAUCUUUAUUUAUCCCUUGACAUAGUUGUUGUGUCACUCUCGACUUUGUGACAGCUGGAGGCGCGAGACGCUGCAAGCGUGGCGCGCCGGUUUGGUAGCACCAAAUGGUGCCUCCCACAGAGACACAAAACGACGCGUAAUUGCCAGAUCGCUGCCUUAAGUGUUGCGCAAACUAAAAUUGAGAGCGAAACCUUUUCGCCCACGGGGGCUCCACGCGAGCUGAAAAAGCCGACCGCGACACCGUACGCGCGGCCUCGGGGCCUCUCUCAUGAUGGCAAACGUGAGCAUGGCGCGGCGAUGCGCAUCGCUGUGUUUAAUUAGCCCGCACGCCACAAUCUCAUUCUGGCACGACGUCCUUGGCCUCCGCAUCACCCUGUUGGUUCAUAUAUGGCUGGCAUUGCUGGAAGUUUCGGUGGAAGCUUGCUUCUUUCGAACCCUAACAGCCUUGAGCAAGGUCUUCUACAUAACGCGAUGACGCAUAACCCCGUAUCAGACUCGCUCAGCGAGCCUCUCCUGCAAGGAGGCGAGGAGCCCCAAUUGGGCCACACCGUCGUGCAGGUCUCAGCGACGGCGGCCACUUCGAACGGCACAGCGCAUCCAACUGGUACAAUCCAAAAAACACUUCAGCGCAAGGGCAGUGGCGACAGCGACGGUCGACAGGCUGAGUCGUUGAGCGUGUCGGUUCGGCGGUGUUCAACACUGCAAACCACUGCGGCACUGCUAACGCUCCAGCUGGGCUGGGGCCUGUGGCUACUUCCAUGCGACUUUGCACGGCUGGGCUGGGUGUUCGGCAUCGGUGAGUUGGUGGCGUGGAGAGUGGGGGGUGCGGGAGGCCUGGCGGCGGAGGCCGACAGGUGGUGCAGCACACGUGUGUGUAUGCGUGCUGAGCGCGUGUGAGCAACGGCCUGCGCUUCCCGCUCUUUUCGCGCCCCGCCCCACCCCUCCUUGCCCCUUUCUGACCGCUCAACGUUUCUCCUUGUUACCGCAGUUGUCCUGGCUCUGCUCGCCAUCGCGACCUCCUACUCGGGCUCCCUCUUCACGCGACUCUAUGGCGCGGUGCCGCAGGCUGGUGAGUCGACCUGCGCAACCCUUCCCUCCCUCUUUGUUUACAUGGCAUGCUUGGUCCCGCACCCUGGCUACUCCCAGUUUGCUUGACUAUGCCCUUGGACGUUGCGUCAAAGCGCCUGCCUCAAAAUGCCUGAAAGCCAACUGGCGUGUGCUUCUGUUGCGAACUGAUCCCGCCGUUUCUGUUUGCCAUCCACAGUCCUGUUUGGUGACGUCGGUGACGCCGCCGCCGGGCGUGUCGGCCGCAUCUCCGUCUACAUAACCAUCUACAGGUAAGAACUUCAUAGUUCAUACACGCGCGUCUGGCCUAGAACCUCCGCCUGUGUGCGAAAUGCUCCGUAUGACCUCUUCGAAACGGCUUUGUGCCAGGUUCCCAUGCACGCACGCCUCUCACACGACUGCGCAGUCCCACCUUCCUUGCAGAUGUUGUCCCACGCUCUCUUACUCCAAGCGCGUGCGUCCCACCAUGCUAACCCGCCCGCUUCUCCUGGCGCCCUUCCCCUCGCCUCGCAGCCUGGACGCCACGCGCUGCAUCAUCUUGCACCUGGCGGCCACACAGUCGCUCUUCCACGCCCUGUCGCCCUCGCUGCAGCAGGUGCUGCCGCUCUGGCAGUGCUCCGUAAUCGUUGCGGUGGUGGUGCUUCUACUUGGGCAGAUCCGGUGAGCCUGCUGAUCCCACUGCCUGCAUGCCAGCUUCUCUUGACCAGCAGCUCAAGCGCGCCAGCCAGCCCCACACCCUUGCCCCAAGCGCGUGCAAAGUGCAGCCACACCAUGUCGGAGCUAGUCACUCACACAUCCGCCCCACCCCCCUCCCGGACCCUGCUGCCCGCCCCUGCUGUGCACACGCACACACAUGCGCCCAGGUACUUGACGCAGCUGUCCUGGUUCUUCAUGACCGGCACUGCGGCGCAGCUGGUUGCCAUCGCCAUCGUGGUGUACGACAUGCUCCUCUAUCGCGGUGAGUCACGGGCCGGCAGCCUGCUACGUGGUGUUUUGCUUGGUUUGACUCUGCGUGCCCACUCUUGUGUGUUUGCGCGUGUUCAACGUGCCAGUGCUUCCGGGGUGGCCCGGCACAAUCCCCAUCUACAUCAAUGGUAGCACCUCUGCCAGCAGGUCCGACCCCACCCCUCUCAAUCCCUGCACAAACCCACUCUUCGCCCCCACGGCCACUUCCCCCUCGUUCGGCUUCAGGAUCCCCCGGCGAGGGCGGUGACGCCAGCGACGCCGCGCUGCACCUGGGCGCCACCCUUACCGCUGAGAGGCACCAGGAGCUCGUGUACGACAGCCCACUCUUCCCCUCGGAUGUGUCGACCAGCAACUGGACCCCCGCAGCCAUGGCCGUGCUCAACAUGAUUUUCGGUGAGUGCGGCGCGUAACUGACAGGGCUUUGAGCGGCGGUGCGGUGUCUUAUUUGGAGCUGCACUACCAGCAAGCCCUCGCCGGGCAACCGCUACCAUCGGAAGGACACAAACCCACUCACGCCAUCACCGUUGACCCGACUCCUACCCGGACCUGCCCAAUGCCCGCAGCAUACGGCGGCCAGUUCGCCUUCCUGGAGAUCAUGUCCAGCAUGCGCACGCCCAACAACUUCAGCAAGGCAGUCAUGAUGUGCACCGGCAUCAUGACCGCACUGUACGGCGGCUUCGGCGCCAUCGGGUAAGCACGCGUGCCGCCGCGCCCUGCUGCUGCCCUGUCUCAGCAGGAAGGUGUGGGGGCUCUGCGCAUAGAUGCAGAUACAAGCGCAUGUGCCUGCAUGGGCAGGUGUUUACGCCUGCUGGUGAUCUUAGAUUUGAUGCUUUGGGUGCUUAUGUGCGCUUGUUGGGUCCAUCCGUGGGAUCCAUCAGAGGCAGGCACCGGUCCUGACACGGGCACUGACGCGCUUUUGUCGUGUUACUUUGGUUUUACGCAGGUAUUGGAGCAAGGGCGCGAGUGUGCACGGCAUUGCCGUGUUCAGCAUGCGUGCCGGUGUGCUGGCACAGAUCGCUGCUGCCUUCAUCUUCUUCCAGGUAUGUGAAAGAGGACACUUCUUUUCGUAUUCGUGUUCCAACCCCCACGCGCCCGCAGAUGCACGCCCAUCUAGCUCGAGCAGGCCUCUCAGCUGUCAACCAUCCAAUGCCACGCCCACGUCAUCUUGCUUCUGCGCGCCCCCCACAGGCGCUGGCCCAGUACCUGGUCAACCUGAACGUGUGGACGCACAACCUGCUGGUGCUGUCGUCACGCCGCAGCAAGCGCCCCAGCAACAGCGGCGAGCUGUGGGACGAGGUGCGUUGUCAGUUCACCGGUCAGGGGUGGGGGAAGGCUGCGUUCGGGAGAUGAAGAUGGGCAGGGUUGUACUUGGCGGAAGGCAGGGAGAAGUGCCAUUCACGAUACACGAGGCUACCUUCACUGUGCCGCGGCUUUGCUGGAAGCCUUGCCUGACACGCGACCUGGCCGCCGGUCUACCUGUCCCCCUGCAGGACAACUCCCGCGCCGGCCACAUGAGCACUGGUGACCACUCGAGCGGCCACGUGAGUUCCCGCACCGCGGCUGGCUGCACAGUGCACCCACAUUCACACACUACACAUCAGGGCCGUCGCCUUGAAGCGCUCUUCAACAGCAAGUGGCAAGCUUACAAAUCGCACGAUCAAAAUGCCGACCUUGUCUCACGCACCCAAUCCUGUUUUCCCGCCCUGUACAGUGGCUGGCGGCGACUGCCUUCGUUGCGGCAUACUCGGCCGUGAUCGCGGUGGCGGUGCCCUUCUUCUGCACGCUAGGUGAGAGAACACGCGGUGCUGCUACGCGCAACAUACAUCUAGCUGCCAGCCAAUGGAUGCACCAGGGUGCGUGCUUAGGCCUGCAGUCGUACCUCUAGCGGUAUGAAUAGACAGUUCUAAUGAGCAGACCGGCAUUCGCCUCGUCCACCUCGCACCGUACCCUGCUCUGACACGCUCCCGCUCCCCCAAACUCUGCCGCCUGUCCUGCAGUCGGCCUGGUCACCUCGGUGACCUACCUCACCACCGCCUACACGCUGCCCGCGAUUUUCGCGCUCAAACUCUUCCCCAACAUGAACACCGUGGAGAAGUGGUGGCUGAAGGCGCUCAUUCCGAUCUCCAUCAUCCUGAGCUUGAUCGGAUUCGUGGCGUCCAUUAAGACGUACAUGAUCGAGGCCUCAGGCGGUGAGGGCAUGUAAGGGCACGGUCUAGGCAUACAUACGUAAGGGCGCGGCGUGCGUGCAUGGAAAUAAUGAUGGCCGGUUGGCCACUGAUGUGCUUCGGCGUCCUCCAAACGGAGAAUGCGGCCACGAUGCAUCUACGCCGCCCUAGAGAGUUUUGUGGAUGAAGCCGGCACUGCACUCUUCGAGUGCAAUACUGGGCCGUGCAUUUGGCAAGGCGGGGUCGCGAAGGGUAUGUGGUGAUGCUCUGCGCGCCCGUCCCGGGGUGUUGCGGCAUCGUGCUCGUUGUGCCGGCGCCAUCGCACGGAGGCCGCGACAGCGAAAAAAGCAGCUUGCAAAAGCGGGGUUGCCAAGUUUUAGGGUGGUCAUUUCUAUGCAUAUGCUGUCGGGGUGAAUUGUGUUGCGCGUGUUCGCAUACGGUGGGAUGAAGCCAUUGGGACGCGCAGCGCUGCCUGGGUUGGACAGCGGCGAGAUGGUUAUUGCGCAAUGCUGUCUUCGCUGCGUUUGGAGGGGAACAUGCAUUCUGAGGGCGUUGCAGGGACACAUGGAGGUGGGCCGCACGCAGGAAGACGUUUGUCAGGUACACGUGAGGAGGUGUGACUAAUGAACAACGGAUCAGGCAGGCGGCAUCGCUCCGUCAGACCCAAUGGAAAUACGAACGCGCUGCAACCUCGUCGAGGAGGUCGCAUUUGCGUUGGCGGUGAGGUAGGAACAGACGCGGUGCGUGAGCUCCAAGUUUUGCUGCGUGAUAAUGUUUCUGUUGCGCCCACUUUUGCAUGCAGUUGCUUGGGAGAAGGGUAGCGCUGGUUACGGUUGGGGUGUAGUGUAUGGCUGCCAUAUGUCGAUAGAGCGUGGGACUGUGGAAAGAGUACAACGUAAGUUCAGGCGGCAGGACCUGCGGUCUUCGGUGUGCUUGAGGCAAACCAUGAUCAAACCUGUCUACACGAAGUGGUUCCCUGUCUGGCGGCAGGAGGAAAACCCGUUUGCCACGGGUCUGGAACGCAGCAUGGGGACGCUGGCCGCCACGAGUGUUUGCGGAAGGGCCGAGGAGCGCCGGGAAUGGAGUGGCGUGGGAGGGGGAGAGGACGCCUGCCGUGUGCACAGAUUCAAAGCACCGUUAAGCGUUAUCAGGGGUGCAAGGUUCCGUGUGCACGGUCAGGGGUGAUGCUAGAGCAAGUCGCCAAACGCUAAACCCUAGUUAUUUCAUUCUUACUAUCGUGCUAUGUAGGAGGCGCUGUGUGAAUGCGCAUGGUAAGCCGGCGUUCCGCGCCACGGGCUCACCUGUUCCGCGACGAAAUGGGGCAUGUGGCAUUUGCUGCACUGCUGCGUCCCCUGUCCGUGGCUGCGUGUGCGUAAUGAACUGCAUCUUACGGGAAACUUCUUGUCCAGAAGCGAACUGUAAAGAUCUGGGUACCGUAUGUAUGAUCCACCUGCGUCUCAAAGAGUUCUCCGCGCAAGGAGCUCGUCAACGGCAUGCAGACGGCUGAUGGGAUGCACUCCUCGCUGCCUGCCACUACCGCCGGCGCGCUGUAGCCCCAAAGACCGCAGCCGUCACCCUUUCAAUGGAUGUCGUAGCAGGCCUAUCCUUGAACAGGAGCGCUGCAGGCCAGGCCGAAUGCCCAGUAAACACCCCAAGCAUUUGGCCUCACUUUGGAGCAAGCGAGAGGGCUGGACAGGGGUAUCCGUUGUGCGCACACGCCCGCGUCAAGUGAACCCACCACCACCAGCCGCUGGCCCGCAGGUCAAAGAUGGCUAUAAGGCCACGGUACCAUCCCGUCAGCGACCGUUCUGGAACCAGGUGUGCCAACUGCGAGCAACCGCGUGCAAAGGAUGCAGAACGUUUUCCUCAACGAGCACCGAACGCAGGCCUGAUUCGUUUGCUGAGUAGAGCAGGCAACCAAGAGGGUAAUUUUGGUGACGCUCAGGCUGCGUAUGGAUCGUCUUGUUGCAUUCCUGCAACCGACAACCGACGGCCUUGUGGCCUGGUGCGUUUCGCCGCUUCGCCCGCCACCCCCUCCCCCGGCCCUUGCCGCCCCCGCCCUCCUGCAUGCGCCCCCAAGGCAGGCCUGUUCUUGCUAGAUACUUUGAGCGCCGUCCAAGAUCACCAAAUAGCAAGGGCUAACUAGGUUCACACGCUAAGGGCGUUGCCAGCAAAUGCCAUGGCCCGGUGCACUGGCACGCGGCGGGAUAUCCUCAAUGUCUUGCGCCCUGGGACAGCCUGGCAUUGGGUGCACGCGCCCAUGGAGCCCUGGGGCCCGAGCAGCCGCGGCCACAGCUCCUCCUGCACCGGAGGGUGGGGCACUGCCACAGCCGCGCCAGGGUGCCCUUGUUGGCAACCAAGGUCGCGGCUUGCUGCUGCUGCCGGCGGUAGGUCUUCCCGCCAAAAGGGGCAGUGGGCCUGGCACGCUCGUCCGGUCCUCGUGGACGGAGGCGGACAGGCCGUGCCGCCGCCGCGCUGCCUAGCUAGGUGCGUGGACCUAGCCAUGCGGACAUACAGCUUCGGCAGCUUCAUUCGCCAGGCGGAUUGCGUGAGCGGUGGGCCGUGCAGCGGCCAACCAUUCUUGGCAUGGUUUUGAUGAGGACAGCCGCACUAAUAAUGGAUGGCGCAAAAGCACGCCAUGGACCUGCGCCCGCCAGUCUGCUCUAGACCGAGCGUGGGCCACAGCGGCGCGUUGAUGCACCAGUCUCCGCCUCUCCGGUGCUGGGUACCUCCUCCAGCUCCUGCAUCGGCGGCAGCGCUCCCAGUAGUCAAGGCCGUACCGUACAUCUGCACAGCUUCAGUAACUCAGUAAGCAGGUGGCCCCAGCAUGGUCCCGGCGGCGCCCGCCGGCUCUGGCACCACCACCUGGGCGCUCCUAUUUAGGGGCGGAAAGCUGGAUGGUGACUGCACAGCGAGGAAGGCGAUGUAGGCAGCGCACCCGGGCUGGGAUGCUGGGGGUGGGUGGUGGGAUCGCCUCGUAGAGUGGCAAGGCGUGUGACCCAUAUCACGUGUAUGCCGCGCGCGCGCAUGCUGCCUGGUGGCGGGGUGGCCAAUGCGCCGUGCCUCUGUCGCCGGAGUGGCCGUAGGUAUUGCAUUGGUUACAACAGGGGCCUGCUAACGGAGCUCAUCACGAGCGGAAUCUGCUCUAGACCGUAUAGGAGCGAGCACUGUGUUGGCUGGGGUCCUUUCAGGUGCUGCUCUGUGGAGCGUGGGGCGAGCCGGCGGUCUACACCUCGUGCUAAGAUUCAAAUCCUGGGCUACGUCCUCCAGCAGACCGCUGUGUCCUAUGCGCCACGUCACCAUAACGUGCAGCACCAUCCUCUCAGAUGAAAGCAGGUUGGCGAAGUAAGGACGCGGCACUGGCGAAGGGCCCUGGGGCCCAGGUCAGCGUCACGUAUGCCGUGGGCGCCGGAUGGGCUCCUGUCAGCGUGCUAGCAGUUCAGCUGCAGCUGUGUCGGGGUCGCCGCUGAACUGGAAGGACUGAUGUGCCCCCGCUCACGAUCGAAGGACGUCGGGGCGGGAGUAAAGGGAGGCGACGCAUGCGCGUAGGUUGACGCUUCUCAUGAAAUGGCACAGGUCAAGGCCAGUGAAGGGUAUUGCGACACAUCCGGUGUAAGCAACACCUUGAUACACUGUCAUGUUGGGGGUGCCCAGAAACGACGUGCCGGGUUGACACGGUACCGCGACGAAUGAAGGAUCGGUCAGGCCGACAGGCCCCUGCGCGUCCUUGCACAUCUGCGUACACUAAACUGGCAAAACCAUAUGCGCAUACAUACACCAACACCUUUCGGUAAUAUACCCUGGUACUUAAGGAGCUCGGCCUGAGCCUGGACCCAGGCCAAAAAUGUCGCGGUCGGUGCAGAGCUGAGCCGCGCCUUAAUAAGCUGAGUGUACCAGAUGUACGUAAGAUAAGCUUAAUUAUCUAGGGAAAGCUGGACAACUUUUGGGACAGCCCCAGCGUCGCUCAAAAUGUCUCGCGCCACCAGCACAAGUCGCUGGCGAUCGGCGCUUGAACGCUUUCCAUCGCACGUGGAAGAGGCUAAGGGGCCAGAUGGCAAGAUACAGAGGGGGUGGCAUCACCUGGAGCUCCGGGUGAGUUCAUCAUCUGGACUAAGGGUGGUUGGGGCAAGAAAAGUUGCGGGUCGGCGCAGUGGGUUACGCGCCUGCUGAUCGUGCUUUCUGGUGUGGAUCAUUAUUAUUUAACUAUCAAGCUAUGUGAAGCGCGCGGCCGCUUCAAGUACUAAACCGGUUGCGUGUUCAGCUACAGUAGUCCUGCCGUCCGAACUUGGCACACACUCAACCCCACAGAUCGCCGCGGAGCUCUUGCGCAUCGGGCCUUACCACAGUGCUGACGAUCACUGGGCACCUACGGACUGGCAGCUACUGCUGGUGGUGUCCGAGUACAUGUCUGCGCUGUUGGAGGUGCGUGGUGGCGUGCGUGGUGCGUGGGGGUGCGUGUCCGUAACCACGUAACCUGUGAACGACGCACGCGUGGAGCAAAACCACUGCAAACCCGUUGGAGCAUCUACGCUCCUUUACAUGCAGGUCACCGUGCGUGUUACUUGCAUCGCAAUAAGCAAGUCACUCUGCGGUGAUUCAGUGCCUGAUGCGCCUAUCUCCCCGUAACCAUACGUUGCUUUAUUACCUUCCCUCGCUACCUUCGUUUUCCCUUCCGCAGUUCCUGGACUGGUUUUGGCCCGAGAUGGGCUGGGAGCAGCAUAAGCAGGCCAUCGUGCUGUCCAAGCGCCUGCUGCAGCCGCGCAGCCCCAACACUUUCCCUAGCCUGCCCAUCGACCCGCAGCUGCACGCGGCGUGGCGCGCCUUCACCUACUGCUUCUGGCACGGCACGAGGCACAUGUCUUCGUCGGCCCCGGCCGGCAUGUCGCAAGCCCCCUACACUGCUGCGCGCGAGUGGCUGACCAAGCUGGUCGGAGAUAAGGGGCUUGAGAGCGACGGCCAGAUAGUCUCGUCCCUGCAGAACUGGCUGGAGGUGGGCACGGCGGCACAUGCACAAACGGAAAAUCAUGCUGAUGCAUGGGCAUGCAGCUUGCAAGAGAAGGUAUCCCAACACAAUGCGCUGCAGCCGCCAUCUAGCAAUACUGGCAGCAGUGCGCGUCCUUGCUCACCGGUAUCACACUUGAUUGGACGGCUUGAACAGGCAAUGGGGCCGCGGCUGCGCGACGCUUUCCCCAACGCGCCCAUCGACUGGGCCCAGUGGCCGGCGGUGACGUGGCCGGACGCGGAGUGCGGCUGCCGCUCGGUGGAGAAGCGUGGCGCGGUGAAGCGGCAGACGGAGGAGGAGUACGCGGUGCGCUGGCCGCUGCGCGUCACGCAGGGCCGGCCAAAGGUGCGUCAGCGGCGGACCAGCAGCAUGUGCGCACCUGGAUCGAUAAGGGGAAUGAACCGUGCAGUUGUACAGGCAGCAGCGCACUGCUCAUUUUAUUUGUAGCGUUUGUAUUGAAAGACAUAAUUGGCACCCUGCAUGCAAGCAAUGCUGUACGGAACACAUGCUGGCAGCAGCAGCACGCAUCUACCAGCGCACACUAUCUAGCGCACACUAGCGCACACUGGCGCAACUUGUCGAUAGUUCACACACGCAACCUGCGCGCACGUCAUUCGGUUGUUCCGCUGUCUCAGUUCAACCACGCCAAGGUGGAGGCACGUGACGGCUUCAGUGUGGGCAUCCCCUCCGUCAAGAACCCGCCCGCCCUUGGUUUCCUGGCGGUCAGCGACGUCAUGUGCGCCUUCAAGCAGGUGAGCAUACGUGCGUGCAUUCGCUGGAUGGAAGGUUCCGUGAAGAGUGCGCGCGCAUGCGUGUCCUCUGCUGCUGGCAGGGUGCGUGCAGAUAGAAUCAUUUUUUGCUGUGAUUGUAUGUGCAAGUAAAAAGGAUGAACGCGCGCGGGGAUUAUGAUGCGGUAUGUAACGUAUGGGGAUGGCGGGUUGUUGGUGCCCAUUACAAUUUUAACCCAGCUGCCGCUGCGGGGCAGACACCCAACAUAUACAUGUAUGGCAGGUAGGCCUCAUAAGCAGUUCGUGACAUUCAUUCUGACGGUCUAACCAAGUAUAACCAACACACUACUUUGAUAGCUCCUGCUGCACUACAUACCGGCAACGGAAGAGCAAAAAUUGCCAAAGCCUUACAUCUCUCAAUGCACGUGGUCCACGCAUACACAUCCUCACGCAUGGCGUCGCACGCCCUCCACCCUUGGAACAGUUUCUAAGACCCUGCUUCCCCACAUCCAGCUGACUUAACACAUUUCCCAUCCGUAACGGUUCUUCCGAGCACCCGCCUGGGGAUGCAAUAAUCCUGUCUGGUAUUGCCCCUGGUGUUCCGGGUAGUUUAAGGGAUUUCAGGAUUGCCCACGCACGCGCAUGCUUGAGUAAUUUUCUCCACACACCUGCUGACAUACACACGCACCUGCCCAUACAUUGCAUGCACAGGCAACGCAGCACUGGCCGUCCGCACCCCCCUCCACGCCGGCGCACGCGGCGCAGCAGGAGGUGGUGCACAGCUUCGUGACCAACGUGCUGCGCGAGACGCGCGGCCCCCUAGCGCCCGGCAUUGGUCAUGAGCAGUUCAAGUGAGUCUCAUCCACAGCGCUCGCUUCACGAUUCAUAAUGCAAGCGCUCUGCAACAGUGCAUACAAGCCGUACAGCACGUGCACACGUAUGCACAUGCUGCCGUGCGCUGUGUCAUUAUGAGUUACGACAAGCAUGCUUGUGUGCGUGUGUAUGUGUGCUGCUAAGCUGGGGACAAAGUAAGCGAGUCCUUGGCUUCUGGCAUCGCACUUGUAUGUGCCGUAUGUUGGAUGAACCUGUCCACCACAACUGCUCCGUAUUCUUCGUGCUUGCUUCACUGCAACAUACACGAAUGCAAGCAGCCCGCCCUCGCUGGUAGUAGCUAGUCCCCAGCCAUACAGCUAUCUGCUGCUGCUAUCUGCGUCGUACCAGUGCUCCUACCCGCCUGCUGUGCUCACCUGUGCCGCCCACAGGUACCUGGGCUACGUGGCCUGCUGUGUGCAGGGCUGGCAGAACGCGCUGCCGCACAUCGAGGCCCUGGUCCGCGCAUCAGCCUCCCUGGGGGCCAUGCCGAUGGUGUUCCCCGGCACAGCCGAGGCCAACGCAGCCGCCGCGGCGAUAGGCGCGCCCAUGACAAUGGGGCUGCUGAUGCCGCCGCCCUCCGCCGCCGGCCCAGGCGUGCAGCAGCAGCAGCAGCACGGCGGCGGCGGUGGCGGCCAGCCGCCGGCGGGGCAGAUGCUGCUCCACCAGUCCAGUGGGCUGAGCCAGCAUCAGCAUCAGCAGCUGCAGCAGGCAGCGGCAGCGGUCGCACAGCAGCAGCAGGGCGGCGCGAACGGAGGCGGUGGGGCAGGCGGUCUGUCUGCGUUUCUUAACACGGGCGGCCCCGUGAUCGGUGGCUUUCAGGAGCUCCUGGGACUGCAGAACGCCAACGGGUUGCAGCCGCUUUCGUUGCGACAGCAGCCGCAACACCAGCAGCAGCAACAACAACAACAACAGCAGCAGCAACAGCAGAACUUUCUGCAACAGCAGCAGCAGCAGCAGCAGCAGCUGUUCCAGCAGCUGAUGGCGCCUCAACAACAGCAGCAGCAAUACAGUAAUUCACUGCAGAUGGCCGCCGGCGGGCCACCGGUGAGCCGCACGCGCCCCAGCCCCUUCACUCGCAGCACGUCGGGGGCCAUGGGCAGCGGCGGCAGCCGCUCCGCCGGCACUGUGUCGCCCAGCGCCUCCCUGGACGAGCUGACGCAGUACCAACAGGCCUUCGCUGCGCAGCAGGCGCUGGCGCAGCAGCAACAGCAGCACCAGCAGCGCAUGCAGCACCAGCAGCAGCAAGGCCAGGGCGGUGGUGGCGGUGGAGGGCCGCAGCAGCUGCCGCCGCUGCCGCAGCUGCAGCCGCCGGGUAUGAAUGGGAAUUCGUACUUGGGUGGACAGUACGGACAGCAGUACGGUGUGCCGUACAGUGCGCCGCCAGCCACCGGCGGGGCGCAUGCGGGCGGCGGCUACAUGCCUUUCAUGAAGCCCCCGUCCCUCAGCGCCACCGGCCCGGCGGGCGCGGACUUCCCGGCCCAGCCGCCCUUCCCAGUCUUCCCGAUGCCGCCGCCGCUGCAGCAGUCAUCUCCCGACGUGUCGCCACAGCCCUGGGCCACUGUCACCUUUGAGCCGCUUGACCCGCAGGCCGUGCAGCAGCAGCAACAGCAGCAACAGCAAUUGCAACAGCAGCAACUGCAACUGGCUAAUACGCCACGGGUGAUCAUCACGCCGCUCAUCAACGGUGACAAGUCCCAGCAGCUGCCGGAGCAGACGACGCAGGGCCAGCAGCAGGGGCAGUCCGGACAGCAGGGCCAGUCAGCGCACACGAUUAGCAUGCUCAGCAACACCCUGAUUUCGGUGCAAGUGCACCCGCUUCCCCCUGCUGGCGGCCAGCAGCCGCCGCAACCACAGCUGCAAUCGCAGCAACCGCAGUCGCACUCACAGCAGCAGCCAGCGCAGCAGCAGGGCCCCGGCGGCGCAGCGGGCGCCGGCGGCGCAGCGGGCGGAGGCCCCCAGCACAUGGACGGCGGUGCGGCCCCCAUGAGCCUGGGCGGCCUCAGCUCCAUGCAAGACCUGCUGGAUGAGCUGCCAUCGCAGCCGGAUCAGUCCUGGUUCGCCUUCCUAGACACUCUGGCAGCCGGAGGCGCCGGCGCCGCCGGCGCUGCGAUGGGCGCUGCCGCCGCGGCGGCAGCGGGCGCCGAAGGCGCAGCAGCGGCAGCGGCAGCCGCUGCGACCGGCAGCGCAGCGCCUGCUGCUGCCGGCGGCGCUGCGGCAGCCGCCGAUGGCGUCUUGGCGCACCUAGCGCUGCCGUCCGGGCUGCCGCAGACGAUGGACUUCAGCAAGGUCCUGUCGCGAGCGGCACAGGGACGCGCCACCACGCCCUUCAUGCAGCCACCCGUGGUCACCAUCAUGCCUGCUGACGCAGCUGCAGCCGCGCGACUGCAGCAGGACCAACAGCUGCAGCAGCUGCAGGCGCAGGCCGCGUCGGCGGCCGCCGGCGGUGACAGCCCGAGCCCCUCCCUAGCCCCCGCUGCCGAUAUGGCCGGGGCCGUGCCGGCCCCCGCUGCCACGGCGGCCUUUGGCCUGCCACCUCCCCCGCUGCUCCUGAGCACUGGGUCCUCGGGCACGGCGGCGGCUGGGCAGCCAACCACCAUGGACGGGCGCCAGCUGCUGCCGCCGGAGUCCUCCCCGCUGCAGCAGCGCAGCUCCGGCGACGGCAAGGGCGAAGGCGUGUUUGACAUGGUCUCAGUCGAAGGCGGCAGCGGUGACGACGCAGCGGCGAUGGCUCUGACCGGCCUAGAUGGCGGUGUCCUGACCGGGAAUAGCGACGAGAGCGGCGGCCGCACCAUUGCCAUGACAAUGAGCGGCGGCGACGGGAGCGCUGGCGGUGGCGGCAGCGGUCGCGGCCGAAAUCGGAGCGCCAGCGGGGCCGCGGGCGAGGGCGACGGGGAGGGCGAGGGCUUCAGUGGAGGCAGCGGCUCCCUCCGUCGGGCCCUCGCUGUGGCGCGUGGUAGCGGUGGCGCAGCCACUGGGACUUCGGGCGGCACCGACGGCAGCAGCCCGGACUCGUCCACCAUUGGAAGCUCUCCGGUCACCGCGGAUGAGGCCAACCAGCAGGCGACCAAUGCGGCGGACGAGGCAGGCGGCGCGGAGGGUGCCGCCCAAGGAGACGCAGCAGCGCAACAGCAACAGCCACGGACAAUCCUGGCGCCCGCACUAGCGCGACCGUUCAUCUCGCAGGGCGCGCAUCCGCACGUGCAGCAGCAGCCGCUGGCAGGCCGGCGCACGCGGGAUGACGCCGCCGCGGCUGCGGCUGCGGAUGCUGCGGCAGCCGGGCUCGUGUCCGCCCCUGGAUCGAUGAACGAGCGCCGGAGGAAGCGCGCAAAUGCGCAGGUACGUUUUUAUGCCUACCGUACGUAAGUACGUGGCUAUGAACCGGUGGUGGGGCAUAACGGCUUCACCAUUGCGCCUUUGGUACCCGAUUUAGCGUGCUGCAGAGGCCGUCGCGUGCACAUAUCUCGACAGCACUUGCUUCUGCCCCCUGCCCCUCGCGUCAACUGGUAUGGCACGCACCUCUCACCCCCUACUCUUGGGUGGGGCGGCGAUUCCUUAACUGCUGGGACCUUUUCCUUUGAGCUCCGGCAAAUAACCCUCACCCCCCAUCACCACUGCCCUGCACGACUGCGCUCACCGCAGACGGACGUGGUGGUCUCCGUGGAGCGAGUGGAAUCACUGGACGUGCUAAUCGGCGCUGGCGGCGGCAACAUCAACGUCGGACUGAGCGCCAGCGUCGGCGGCGUGAUGCCCAGCGGCCGGCUGCUCAACACGCUGCUGCCGUCGGGCCUGACGCUGCCGCUGUCCUCGCCGGGGAUACAGGUCAGCGGCAGCGCCGGCGGCAGCGGCAACGGCAGCACUGAGGCGCGCGGCCCGGCGACCGACGUGUCUGCCUUCACGGCCGCCGCCGCAGCGGCGGUGGCGGCAGCGAAUCUGCCCACGGACGGCGGGCCGUAUGCACCCAAGCCUGAGCAGCUGAAGGUGCGGCUGGUGUCGCUGCUGCGGGAGGCGGAGCUGUUGGCGACACAGCUGGCGUCCCAGGACCCAGCGGGCACGCGGGCACUGGUGGUGGCGGCGCUGAAGGGAGGCAGCCUGAUUGGGAACUGGUGCUCUGCGCCGCCUUCGCAGCAGGGCUCGGGCGCAUCUGGUUGACCGGGCCACGGGCGCAGCAAAUGGCAGCAGCGGUAAUGGCGCCGCGCAGGAUAGGAGCACCCCUGCAGCACAUACAGCGGGAGAGGGGAUGGGCGAGUAAGGUGGCGGCGCGUCCAGACCGUGUGUGUACGUGCGCGUGUGUGAGUGGUGCAUGGCGCUGAGUAGAGACUACGGCAGCGGACGCGUGCAGUGCGGAUGCCACGGCGCUGGCGACGAUGGCAGCCGCGGCGGCUGUGCUGCGAGCCGGCAACUCCGAUGCGGAUGUGAUUGCGGCAGCGCGGGGCCUCAAUUAGGUCAGUGGUGCGAGAAGGCCGACGGAGGCAGCGGCAACGGCAUGGCGGUGGCCUCACGCUAGCUACGACGUACAUACAGGAUGUUGCGCAAUGUCCGCAGCUGCACUGUGUGCCUCGCUUGCAGCGGGGUAGCAUUUGGAAAGGGUAAGGCAUGCUGGAUAGUAUAACUGAGGUCUAAAACGCAACUAUGGGAUUGUAGGCCCUGAACGGCUCCAGAACCUGAAAUUGAGUGCCCACGGUGGAGCGUCUGCAGCGGGGCCCUAGGGCUUUCUGGUUGACGCUAUGCGAGGGUGUGCUGUCCUUGUGUGCUUUCCACGUGGGGGUCAGUUUGCGUGAAUGGAGUUGUCAUUGUCGUAGUAUUCAUAAGAAUCAUUGCCGUGCGGUUUGCGGGAGGUUUGCUCUCCCGUACUGCUGCGUGCCCUACUCCAGCGUGUAUGCAAUGCAGCGGAUGGUGGUCUAACGCAUGGCUGGACGUUUGGGGAAGAGGUUUCAUUCACGUCGUGCAUUGCGCAUUCCAGCCCGCAUGUACCGCCAUGGGAAUGUCGGGAUAGGUCUGAUCGUUGAUACGCCCGUUCGUGUCUUAAUUUGCUGACGUCAUUCGGAGAAGGUGUGUGUGGCUUUAUGUACAUUGUUGUGGCUACUUACAUCGGGAUAGAGGCUCGAAACCGCACAAGCUGGCGCUUGGCGCACCGCUAACCUUUGCCUCUGUAGGUUGGCAGCGGAUACGUAAUACGGGAAGAAACAUCUGAAGCACCGGUUGUGUUGCCAGCUGCGUGCGUGUAAUCGCGUCUUCCGACCUUUGGCCGGUCGGUGAAAGGGUCGGUCGGUCGGACAUUCGGCCGUAGACGGUGGGCGUGCAGAGCUAGCUGUUGCGUGCUGGCAUGCGGUGCCAUACGGCACGGUUUGACCUCUGAGUUGUGCAACCAUCCCCACCUGUUUCAACAGUGAGAAUCUAAAACAUGGGAGAUAGCGAACGAGAGUAUGUGACUUAACUUUGAAUCCAAGGCCGGGACAGACUGGGAUGUAUUGUGUGGUGUGAUUGGUACUGGACGUGCAUACGGUAGCGGAAUGCAUGGCUUUGCCCAGCCCGUCUACCAGCAUGAGUCCGCAUUCCGCAUCCAGACCUAAGCAGGAACACGCAUGGCAAGAAUGAUGGGUUUAUGGGACAAGGUGUACGUGCGCCAAAGCGCAGGCUGCGCGGAGCAGUUGCGCCUAAUAAUGCGUCGGUUCGGGUUCGCGUGGUUGUAUGGAUGUUUGUUUUCUCACUUGCCAUGCUUAUGCCAGAGACAUGCGGGUUUGUGCGCACAUACACAUGUUCGUGGAUCGUACUUCUAUGAAGUGUGUAAAUCCAACUGACCUUAUGGUUUCUGGCUGCCGAUGCUGGCUUGUUGCCAGUGCCUGGGGGGCCCAGGGUACGUACUGUGGGGCGUGGGCACACAGAUGCGCAGAUUGUUGGCGUGUCGUGGUCAAGUGUAAGCUUUGAUGAUGUUAACAUGCGACUGAGCUCUCACGUACCGAUAAUGCAGUUUGGCCGGGUGACGAUAAAGCCGGGGCUGGCUGCGCAAACGGGGCGCAGGAGCGCCGGGCACUGAGGGGCGCCAGGCAAUCGUGUCAUGUCGCUCUGACCAAAUGCUGGCUCAAAUCUUUUGUAUAGACUAAACUUCUACGUUAGAAACCUUGAGUGCUUCAAUGAGAAAACGCUGGGCCCCGAGGAGUAAGUGCUUCGCAACUGCGCGUGCAAGGGGCCUGACAGUGGGAGGCCAAGCAGAAUUUAUGAGCAGGCUACAGCGUACAGUACUUUGACUUGGCCUCAAGCGAGCCGCGCAACAACUUACUCCUCGGUGCAAACUUUUGACAAAGCUUGUCCCCUUGUUUCAAUGGCCAUCCUAAAGGACCAGGACCAAAGCACCAUGUCAGCGAAGUCUAGGUGGAAGUCGGAGAAGUUUCCGGCGCACGUUGAGGUAAGACUUCAGCCAUAACCUUCAGCCAUCGCGGCGACCGCUGACCGCGACGGCCGGCCGCCGGGCUUAAAUUAUCCGCGCAGGAGGCACGCAACAGCGAUGGAAACGUGCAUAAAGGAUUCAACCUUCUGGAGUUCAGGGUAAGUUGACGAGGCGUGCCCGGUCGCCAAACCGUGGUGGGCGAGCGGCACCCAGGUCCCCCCGCCCCCGCCGUUUGCCUCCUUGCCCCAUCAUGCUCGGGAGGACCUUGCUGGCCCCAUGGUUCAUACCUUUCUCGAAUAUAAAAUGUAACAAUGUGGCAGCGGUCUUACGUGUGAUGCCUUCCCUUGACCAGGUGGCCGCGGAGCUCCUGCGCAUCGGGCCGUACCACAGCACCGAGGAUUACUGGGCGCCCGUUGACUGGCAGUUGCUGCUGCUGGUUUCGGAGUACAUGUCUGCAUUGCUCGAGGUACUUACGGGUUGGGUCCCCAGUCCGAGCCUGCCGUGUAGGAGCAUCUUGGGUCGGCAGGGGCGCAACCCGACACUGCGACCACGCGAAAAGUUUUCGUCGCAUGUCAUUACUGCCGCUCGCUCGUGCUCCCAUUCCGCAGUUCCUGGACUGGUUCUGGCCCGAGAUGGGCUGGGAGCACCACAAGCAGGCCAUCGUGCUGUCCAAGCGCCUGCUGCAGCCGCGCAGCCCCAACACUUUCCCUAGCCUGCCCAUCGACCCGCAGCUGCACGCGGCGUGGCGCGCCUUCACCUACUGCUUCUGGCACGGCACGAGGCACCUGGCCGCGGUGACACCGGUAGGCGUGGCCACUGCCACCUACACCGCGGCUCGGGACUGGUUGAACAAGCUGGUGGGGGAGCGAGGCUUUGAGGAGGAGGGGCCGAUCACGUCCUCCCUUCUGAGCUGGACCGAGGUGCGGAGCGGCAGACAUGUUGGGCGUGUGGUGUUGAACGUUGGGAUGUGACGGAAGGGAGGGGCACACAUGAUGAGAGGUGCGCCCGGAGUACGCUACUUCCAUACUUGGUGGAUGGUGCCUGGGUCGGUGCCCUUGAGCAAGAAUGCGUGGGCUGUGUCGCGCGCAGUCGAUGGGGCCGCGGCUACAAGAGGCGUUUCCGAACACCAGCAUCGACUGGGCCCAGUGGCCGGCGGUGACGUGGCCGGACGCGGAGUGCGGCUGCCGCGCGGUGGAGAAGCGCGGCGCGGUGAAGCGGCAGACGGAGGAGGAGUACGCGGUGCGCUGGCCGCUGCGCGUCACGCAGGGCCGGCCAAAGGUGCGUCAGCGGCGGCCCGGAAUCUCAUUCCGCAGCCGCAUAACAGCGGGCCUCCGGGUUUCAUCAGUCGCAGCGUCACACCUGCGCCGUCCCGUUGGCGGCCGCCCCCCUUUUUAUCUUGCACCGAACCUCAGCACCAUGCAUGCCCUUCCCUUAAUCUUGCACCUAAUCUCCAUAUGCCCCUCCCCAGUUCAACCACGCCAAGGUGGAGGCGCGCGACGGGUUCGUGGUGGCCAUCCCCAGCAUGAAGAACCCGCCCGUGCUGAGCUUCCUGGCGGUGUCGGACGUCAUGACCUCCUUCAAGCAGGUGGGCUGGGCGGCAUGCGGGGUCGGGGGUGGUUAGCACGGGAUUGUGGGCUGUUGGGCGAACGGACGGAUAGGCUUGGUGGUAGUCAGUCCAAACUCCAAACUCGACCGACAUGGUCGGCUGCAUGGGUGUGGGCUGGGCUGCGAACGCAUAGCUCCGCUUGCUUUGGAGGCUCUUCAUGCGCUGCGCCAAGCUACCGUAAUGACAGCGCUCAGAGCAAGAGCCAAGCAUGGCAUACGGGUGUGCGGUGACGUAUUUAGGGCCAAGGACGCUGCACUUCAUUUGCAUGGAAUUUGUGUGCAUUCUCGCCACAGGCGGCGGCGCGCUGGCCGUCCACCACCGCGGACAGCCCCAGCCAGGCGCUGCAGCAGGAGAUGGCGCAGAGCUUCGUGCAGAACGUGCUGCGGGCGACACGGGGUCCGCUGGCGCCCGGCAUCGUGCACGAGCCGUACAAGUGAGCGAGGGACGCUUGGGCGCAGGCAGGGGUUGGCGCUUGGGCGCAUGCAAGGGGCUGGCAAGCCGGCAAACGCGGGCGUGCUUGCAACUGCGUCGCAACAGCACAUGGAAUUAGGCCCGGCGGUUGCGGCAUGGUGACUCCUCCUGGCCGUCCCCGCCGCUCAUUCUUGCAGGUACCUGGGCUACGUGGCCUGCUGCGUGCAGGGCUGGGAAACCGCACUGCCGCACAUCAUGUCCAUCGUGCGCGAAACGGGCGCGUGGGGGUCGCAGCCGCUACUGCUGCCCGGCGCGCCGCUGCAGACUGCCGCAGGGCUCUCGCAGCUGCUGACAGUGGCUGCCGCCGCACCGCCGCACCAUGCAUUCCUGCAGCCGCACGCGCAGCUAGGCCAGCCGGGGGCAGGAGUAGCGUACGGCGGCGGCCUGGGCGGUAUGGGGCCGGGCGGCGGCGUAGGUGGGCUGGGGCUGGGCAUGGCGGUGGGCGGGGCGCCGGAAGGCGGCCUGAGCCUGGGCAUCGCCGAGCACCUCGCCAUGCUGCAGCAGCAACACCACCACAUGCAGCAGAUGCAGCAGCAGCAACACAUGCAGCAAAUGCACCAGCUGCAGCAGCAGCAGCAAAUGCAGCAGAUGCAGCAGCAGCAGCAACAAAUGCAGCAGAUGCAGCAAAAUGCGGUGAUGGGCGGCGGGGCGAUGCACGAGUUGGGGGCGCCGGGCAUGUACGGUGGCUUUAUGCAGCCACAGCAGCAGCAGCCACUGCAGGCGCCGCAGUUGCAGCAGGUGCCGCAGAUGCAGCAGGCGCAGCCGCAGCAGGCUAUGACCGGCGCUGACCAGGCCCAGUUUGCUGCACCGAUCCCGGUGGUCACAGUGCACGCGCUGCCGAGCAGCGAUGCAGGGCCGACGAGCCAGGCGGCGACAGCAAACCAGGCGGGGCCGGUGUCUCAGGGCUCGGCGUCAAGCCCAGAGGGCAGCGCUGGCGACCCGCCCCAAGCCGCGGGGGGCGCGCGGGUAACGCGCACGCGCCCAAGCCCGUUCGCGGCGGCCGGCACGCGUAAGCCGGCCGCACCAACCUCGGCCGGCGCCGCGGCUGGUGGUGCCAGCGCAACCGCAGGCGCAGCCGCGGGCGGGCAGCUGGGGCCAAGGCAGGGCCAGGGCCAGGCGCAGCAGGGCGCUGGCGCCAUGGACGGCGGCGCGGCUCCCAUGAGCCUGGGCGGCCUGAGCUCCAUGCAGGAGCUGCUGGACGUGUUGCCCGAGCCCUCCAAUGUGGUGGACAUCAGCUGGAGCGCGUUGAUGGGCACCGGCACCAUGGGCAUGCUGGCCGGCACCGGCACCACCGCCAACCUCUUGCUGGAGUCGGGCGACAAGGCGGCGGAGCAGGCGGCGGCGGCAGGGCCAGGGGCGGCGGGCGGCGCUGCGGCGGGCGGCGCCGCGGGAGGGCCAGGGGCGGCCGCCGGUGCGGUUGCUGAUGGCCCCAAGGCGCAGCAGACCGCGGCGCCCAGCACAGGUGGCGUUCAAGCCCCGGCUGCUGUGCGGCCCGCCGGCCCCGCUUCAGCUUUCUCCGCUGCAGCUGGCGCCUGGGCUGCCGCGGGGCUGCAACCGGCAGCGGCUGGAGCUGCCGCGGCCGGCGCUGCCGCAGUGGGCCCUCCUACACUCUCUCCCAACCCGGCCUCGCCUGCGACGCAGCUGCAGCCCGGCUUCCUGCAGCCGGCCACCAUGCACACCGCUGGCGCGGCCGCGGCCGGCUCCGGGAUGGCCGGCCUGACCACCUUCAACAGCGCGAUGCCCCUGGGCGCGCGCCCCGGCGGUGAGGCCGGCCCCUCAGGCAUGGGAAACCUGGGCGGCUUCUCCUCCGUGCCGCUGUCGGCACCGGGGCGCGCUUUGGGCGGCCUCACGGGAGCACCUGACGCACCCGUGCACAUCCAGCCGCCCAGCAUCCGCGCGGGCUCGCCUUUCCAGGGCACCAUCACCACCGGCACGCUGCCUGGCGCCAGCACCGGCGGCCGGUCCGAUCCCGCCUCGCCGCCGCUUGAUUUUGGCGCGACGCUAGGCGGCCUGGGUGCGGGCCUUAGCACCAUGUCCUUUGGCAUCUCGGGGCCGUCUUUAAACGCGGCGCUGGCUGGCAUUGGCGGCGGUGGAGUCAUUGGCGGCGGCGUGGCGGCGGCGGACCCGCCGCUGCCGGCGCGCCUGAGCCAUGGCGAAGUGUUCACAAGCAUUGGGCCGCCAUCGCCAUCAGGAGCAGGAAGCGGGGGCGGGGGUCGAUGUCCAACCAGCCCGGGCGGCGGGGGCAGGAUCAGUGAGGGCGGGAAUGGCGGCGCUGCGGCCGGGAGCCCCAGCGGGACUGCAAGCGGCGCGGCGCCUGCGCAGCGCCGCGGCGCGACUUCUCCCUUUGGUCGGCGCUCAGGGGAUGGCGGCGCGGCUGCUCGUGCCGUGGCAACGGGUGGGCGGCGGACACGUGGGGACCUGGCGGCGGCGGCGGCCCAGGUGGCGGCUGAGACUGGGCUGGCGCCAGCGCCCGGUUCCAUUGCGGAGCCAGCGACCAAGCGGCCCAACUCGCAGGUGGGGCUUCAGCGGUCUGACACUGAGCGCGUUGGUGCCCUUGCUCCUCCGAACGGGUUCCUGCAUUGGCCUCUUGUCUUGAUGUGCCUGGCUAACCGCCUACCUGCUUGCCUGCUGCCAUUGCUUGCUCUCCUGCAGAACGACCUGGCUGCGCCGCUGCGGGCCGUGCAGCGGCUUGUGACGGCGGAGCGCGUGGAGUCGCUGGGCAUGUACCUGAACGAGGAGCACGUCACCCGCAGCCAGCACCCCAGCGUGCAACAGGGGCUGCCCGAGACGACGCAGGCGCCAGCAGCGGCGGCGGCGGCCGGAGCCGGUCCCGCAUCGACUCAGGGGAUCUUGAAGGUGGAAAUAAUUCCGGUGAACGACUCUGGGCCGGACCUGGGCGCGGCAGCGGCUGCAGCCUCGCCAGCCGGCGCGGCGCCGUCGCAGGAGGCCGGCGUGAAGCCGGUGAACGGCGAUCUGCAGGCGCGGCUGCAGCAACUGCUGCGCGAGGCCGCGGCGGUGGCGGAGCAGCUGGCGGAUCAGGACCAGCAAGCGGCGCGGUCACUGGUGACAGAGACGAUGCGCGAGUGCCCCACGUUGGGGGCGUUGUUAGGUGGCAGUGGUGUGGGGCCGAACGCAGAGCCGGGGCAGGGCGCGCACACGCAGUCACUUGGAACUGGCUCUGCGCCGGCGCAGUCUUAAAGUACUGGUUUUGUGAUGCAUUGCAUAAAGGUUUUGCGGAAGUGGUUUGUUCCCAGGCAGCUUUAUGGGCAGCACACACCGAAUACCUUCAUAACAAUAAACUGUUUAGGGCAACGUAUCAAAGCCCGUUACCGGUAUUGGCUCGUUCGGAGUUGGUUGCGCAAGUCUACCACUCUUGACGUAUCAGUGCAGUUGUUUUCUGAAUGGCGUACAUUGCCACGCUAUGAGUCGGAAGGGCCAAGUUAUCCACUUCUCCAGCAUUGAUCGCAGGGGAUGCUGGGAUAGGCCCCCUACUCCGUAGUCCUGCAUGGAGCGCAUGCAACGUGAAGCUGUUAACGUUGCAUACACCUGCGCAACCUGUCAGUGUAAAGGCAGUGAGGUAUUGUAUCUGCGCCCUUCCACAGUUCAUGGGAUAGUCCAAUGUUUGAGUUCGAGUGGUUGAGCGCCGCCUGAGCCUGACUGGGCAUAUGAGCAAUGCGCAUUUCCACCGUACCCCAUGCCCAUCCCCGUGUAUGGACGGCGUACGGUGUAUCUCUUACUGCGCUCGCUCAGGGCCCCUGGCAUGUAAAUAUACUUAAUGCUUUUACAUGACCGAGAUGCGGAAACGACCCUCCGCGGGCGCACACCCAACUGACAACCUUGCUAAUGUAUGCCCAGGACUGGCAGGGGCGGCCAGGGCUGGCAGCUCACGCCGCCAUGUGCGGAGUAAUGGCAUAUGCAUCACUACGUGCCUGAGCAGCGCAGAUCAGGGGGCGCGGUGCAGCAGUGCGCCGACUGCGCCCCGCACCACUGCCCGCCGCACGAGGCACCGCCUGCGUGUGUGCCACGGCGGGGGAACGGGCACGCCACUUGGUGCAGGCGCGACGCCAUGCGGUAGUAACGUCAGGUUGGGGUCCCUAGGCUGUCAUGCAGCGUGGCGCAACGAGGGAGGGGCCGGAUUCAACGCGUGUGCCGGCGGGCGACACGCACAGGCAACAGCUCGGAGCGCGCGUGCUUGUGCUGCGGCGUGGUGCGUGCCGUUCUAGUGCCUGAGGCCCUCUGCAGGCGCGCCUGCCCGGACCGCGGUGUCAAGAUGGCCCAGGUAGCAUGCCAUAGCGGCACUUGGGCCGCUGAAAAUCGCAGCGCUCUGGCCACGCGGUGGCCAGGCGCCCGGCCACCCCACGUGUUGACGGGGCCACGAACGGGCCCUGAGCCCGUGCGGGGGCCGCACAAAUGCCCGCGGCUGUGUGAUUCCGUCUUGCAACCCUAGACGUGAUGGCUGAGCUCCCUGGCCGGGCCGGGCGCUGGCCACAGGCGCGUGUGUGGGCAUGCCGACAUGUUUGGCGGGUCGGCAUUUCGCUAGGCUUUGGACUACCCCCACUUCAAGGUGGCUUGUUUGCGGACAUUUGGGCCUACCUAUAUGCUGAUAGGGGAAUGGAGGAACCGACGCCAGGAAAAUGGCCAUUUUCAGCCUGACAUUGCGUCGCUCGCGCGAGGGUCCGUCGCGCGAGAAUUGCGCAAACAACUCCUGUUGCUGGCCCAAAUACAACCUGACACCUGCGGAGCCUGUAUUGAUAGACUAUAUGUAUAAUAUAAGUAAUCAUUCUGGUCACCGGCAACUGGGCAAACGUGUGCCAGGCUGUGCCGUGACUCGGUGCCUCCCCUCGUGACGCGCCGUCCAACCCGAACCACCAAACCCCUCCGCUGCGUCCCAACCCGCCCGCCACUCGUCCACAUGCCUCUGGCUAUGUAUACAUCAGCGGCCAGGACCAGAGCUCCGCAGAGUAGGUCGCACAUGGGGGCCCCCGGGACGGCGCCCAGCCCAGGGGUGUGCGCAGGCUCCGAGGCUGGGCCCAGCACUGGCAGGGGCGGCCAGGGCUGGCAGCUCACGCCGCCAUGUGCGGAGUAAUGGCAUAUGCAUCACUACGUGCCUGAGCAGCGCAGAUCAGGGGGGCGCGGUGCAGCAGUGCGCCGACUGCGCCCCGCACCACUGCCCGCCGCACGAGGCACCGCCUGCGUGUGUGCCACGGCGGGGGAACGGGCACGCCACUUGGUGCAGGCGCGACGCCAUGCGGUAGUAACGUCAGGUUGGGGUCCCUAGGCUGUCAUGCAGCGUGGCGCAACGAGGGAGGGGCCGGAUUCAACGCGUGUGCCGGCGGGCGACACGCGCAGGCAACAGCUCGGAGCGCCAUGUGCGUGCGUGCUUGUGCUGCGGCGUGGUGCGUGCCGUUCUAGUGCCUGAGGCCCUCUGCAGGCGCGCCUGCCCGGACCGCGGUGUCAAGAUGGCCCAGGUAGCAUGCCAUAGCGGCACUUGGGCCGCUGAAAAUCGCAGCGCUCUGGCCACGCGGUGGCCAGGCGCCCGGCCACCCCACGUGUUGACGGGGCCACGAACGGGCCCUGAGCCCGUGCGGGGGCCGCACAAAUGCCCGCGGCUGUGUGAUUCCGUCUUGCAACCCUAGACGUGAUGGCUGAGCUCCCUGGCCGGGCCGGGCGCUGGCCACAGGCGCGUGUGUGGGCAUGCCGACAUGUUUGGCGGGUCGGCAUUUCGCUAGGCUUUGGACUACCCCCACUUCAAGGUGGCUUGUUUGCGGACAUUUGGGCCUACCUAUAUGCUGAUAGGGGAAUGGAGGAACCGACGCCAGGAAAAUGGCCAUUUUCAGCCUGACAUUGCGUCGCUCGCGCGAGGGUCCGUCGCGCGAGAAUUGCGCAAACAACUCCUGUUGCUGGCCCAAAUACAACCUGACACCUGCGGAGCCUGUAUUGAUAGACUAUAUGUAUAAUAUAAGUAAUCAUUCUGGUCACCGGCAACUGGGCAAACGUGUGCCAGGCUGUGCCGUGACUCGGUGCCUCCCCUCGUGACGCGCCGUCCAACCCGAACCACCAAACCCCUCCGCUGCGUCCCAACCCGCCCGCCACUCGUCCACAUGCCUCUGGCUAUGUAUACAUCAGCGGCCAGGACCAGAGCUCCGCAGAGUAGGUCGCACAUGGGGGCCCCCGGGACGGCGCCCAGCCCAGGGGUGUGCGCAGGCUCCGAGGCUGGGCCCAGCACUGGCAGGGGCGGCCAGGGCUGGCAGCUCACGCCGCCAUGUGCGGAGUAAUGGCAUAUGCAUCAAUACGUGCCUGAGCAGCGCAGAUCAGGGGGGCGCGGUGCAGCAGUGCGCCGACUGCGCCCCGCAACACUGUCCGCCGCACGAGGCACCGCCUGCGUGUGUGCCACGGCGGGGGAACGGGCACGCCACUUGGUGCAGGCGCGACGCCAUGCGGUAGUAACGUCAGGUUGGGGUCCCUAGGCUGUCAUGCAGCGUGGCGCAACGAGGGAGGGGCCGGAUUCAACGCGUGUGCCGGCGGGCGACACGCGCAGGCAACAGCUCGGAGCGCCAUGUGCGUGCGUGCUUGUGCUGCGGCGUGGUGCGUGCCGUUCUAGUGCCUGAGGCCCUCUGCACGCGCGCCUGCCCGGACCGCGGUGUCAAGAUGGCCCAGGUAGCAUGCCAUAGCGGCACUUGGGCCGCUGAAAAUCGCAGCGCUCUGGCCACGCGGUGGCCAGGCGCCCGGCCACCCCACGUGUUGACGGGGCCACGAACGGGCCCUGAGCCCGUGUGGGGGCCGCACAAAUGCCCGCGGCUGUGUGAUUCCGUCUUGCAACCCUAGACGUGAUGGCUGAGCUCCCUGGCCGGGCCGGGCGCUGGCCGCAGGCGCGUGUGUGGGCAUGCCGACAUGUUUGGCGGGUCGGCAUUUCGCUAGGCUUUUUGGACUACCCCCACUUCAAGGUGGCUUGUUUGCGGACAUUUGGGCCCACCUAUAUGCUGAUAGGGGAAUGGAGGAACCGACGCCAGGAAAAUGGCCAUUUUCAGCCUGACAUUGCGUCGCUCGCGCGAGGGUCCGUCGCGCGAGAAUUGCGCAAACAACUCCUGUUGCUGGCCCAAAUACAACCUGACCCCUGCGGAGCCUGUAUUGAUAGACUAUAUGUAUAAUAUAAAUAAUCAUUCCGGUCACCGGCAACUGGGCAAACGUGUGCCAGGCUGUGCCGUGACUCGGUGCCUCCCCUCGUGACGCGCCGUCCAACCCGAACCACCAAACCCCUCCGCUGCGUCCCAACCCGCCCGCCACUCGUCCACAUGCCUCUGGCUAUGUAUACACCAGCGGCCAGGACCAGAGCUACGCAGAGUAGGUCGCACAUGGGGGCCCCCGGGACGGCGCCCAGCCCAGGGGUGUGCCAGGCUCCGAGGCUGGGCCCAGCACUGGCAGGGGCGGCCAGGGCUGGCAGCUCACGCCGCCAUGUGCGGAGUAAUGUAUGGCAUAUGCAUCACUACGUGCCUGAGCAGCGCAGAUCAGGGGGGCGCGGUGCAGCAGUGCGCCGACUGCGCCCCGCACCACUGUCCGCCGCACGAGGCACCGCCUGCGUGUGUGCCACGGCGGGGGAACGGGCACGCCACUUGGUGCAGGCGCGACGCCAUGCGGUAGUAACGUCAGGUUGGGGUCCCUAGGCUGUCAUGCAGCGUGGCGCAACGAGGGAGGGGCCGGAUUCAACGCGUGUGCCGGCGGGCGACACGCGCAGGCAACAGCUCGGAGCGCCAUGUGCGUGCGUGCUUGUGCUGCGGCGUGGUGCGUGCCGUUCUAGUGCCUGAGGCCCUCUGCAAGCGCGCCUGCCCGGACCGCGGUGUCAAGAUGGCCCAGGUAGCAUGCCAUAGCGGCACUUGGGCCGCUGAAAUCGCAGCGCUCUGGCCACGCGGUGGCCAGGCGCCCGGCCACCCCACGUGUUGACGGGGCCACGAACGGGCCCUGAGCCCGUGCGGGGGCCGCACAAAUGCCCGCGGCUGUGUGAUUCCGUCUUGCAACCCUAGACGUGAUGGCUGAGCUCCCUGGCCGGGCCGGGCGCUGGCCACAGGCGCGUGUGUGGGCAUGCCGACAUGUUUGGCGGGUCGGCAUUUCGCUAGGCUUUGGACUACCCCCACUUCAAGGUGGCUUGUUUGCGGACAUUUGGGCCUACCUAUAUGCUGAUAGGGGAAUGGAGGAACCGACGCCAGGAAAAUGGCCAUUUUCAGCCUGACAUUGCGUCGCUCGCGCGAGGGUCCGUCGCGCGAGAAUUGCGCAAACAACUCCUGUUGCUGGCCCAAAUACAACCUGACCCCUGCGGAGCCUGUAUUGAUAGACUAUAUGUAUAAUAUAAAUAAUCAUUCCGGUCACCGGCAACUGGGCAAACGUGUGCCAGGCUGUGCCGUGACUCGGUGCCUCCCCUCGUGACGCGCCGUCCAACCCGAACCACCAAACCCCUCCGCUGCGUCCCAACCCGCCCGCCACUCGUCCACAUGCCUCUGGCUAUGUAUACAUCAGCGGCCAGGACCAGAGCUCCGCAGAGCAGGUCGCACAUGGGGGCCCCCGGGACGGCGCCCAGCCCAGGGGUGUGCGCAGGCUCCGAGGCUGGGCCCAGCACUGGCAGGGGCGGCCAGGGCUGGCAGCUCACGCCGCCAUGUGCGGAGUAAUGUAUGGCAUAUGCAUCACUACGUGCCUGAGCAGCACAGAUCAGGGGGGCGCGGUGCAGCAGUGCGCCGACUGCGCCCCGCAACACUGCCCGCCGCACGAGGCACCGCCUGCGUGUGUGCCACGGCGGGGGAACGGGCACGCCACUUGGUGCAGGCGCGACGCCAUGCGGUAGUAACGUCAGGUUGGGGUCCCUAGGCUGUCAUGCAGCGUGGCGCAACGAGGGAGGGGCCGGAUUCAACGCGUGUGCCGGCGGGCGACACGCGCAGGCAACAGCUCGGAGCGCCAUGUGCGUGCGUGCUUGUGCUGCGGCGUGGUGCGUGCCGUUCUAGUGCCUGAGGCCCUCUGCACGCGCGCCUGCCCGGACCGCGGUGUCAAGAUGGCCCAGGUAGCAUGCCAUAGCGGCACUUGGGCCGCUGAAAAUCGCAGCGCUCUGGCCACGCGGUGGCCAGGCGCCCGGCCACCCCACGUGUUGACGGGGCCACGAACGGGCCCUGAGCCCGUGUGGGGGCCGCACAAAUGCCCGCGGCUGUGUGAUUCCGUCUUGCAACCCUAGACGUGAUGGCUGAGCUCCCUGGCCGGGCCGGGCGCUGGCCGCAGGCGCGUGUGUGGGCAUGCCGACAUGUUUGGCGGGUCGGCAUUUCGCUAGGCUUUUUGGACUACCCCCACUUCAAGGUGGCUUGUUUGCGGACAUUUGGGCCUACCUAUAUGCUGAUAGGGGAAUGGAGGAACCGACGCCAGGAAAAUGGCCAUUUUCAGCCUGACAUUGCGUCGCUCGCGCGAGGGUCCGUCGCGCGAGAAUUGCGCAAACAACUCCUGUUGCUGGCCCAAAUACAACCUGACCCCUGCGGAGCCUGUAUUGAUAGACUAUAUGUAUAAUAUAAAUAAUCAUUCCGGUCACCGGCAACUGGGCAAACGUGUGCCAGGCUGUGCCGUGACUCGGUGCCUCCCCUCGUGACGCGCCGUCCAACCCGAACCACCAAACCCCUCCGCUGCGUCCCAACCCGCCCGCCACUCGUCCACAUGCCUCUGGCUAUGUAUACAUCAGCGGCCAGGACCAGAGCUCCGCAGAGUAGGUCGCACAUGGGGGCCCCCGGGACGGCGCCCAGCCCAGGGGUGUGCGCAGGCUCCGAGGCUGGGCCCAGCACUGGCAGGGGCGGCCAGGGCUGGCAGCUCACGCCGCCAUGUGCGGAGUAAUGUAUGGCAUAUGCAUCACUACGUGCCUGAGCAGCGCAGAUCAGGGGGGCGCGGUGCAGCAGUGCGCCGACUGCGCCCCGCACCACUGCCCGCCGCACGAGGCACCGCCUGCGUGUGUGCCACGGCGGGGGAACGGGCACGCCACUUGGUGCAGGCGCGACGCCAUGCGGUAGUAACGUCAGGUUGGGGUCCCUAGGCUGUCAUGCAGCGUGGCGCAACGAGGGAGGGGCCGGAUUCAACGCGUGUGCCGGCGGGCGACACGCGCAGGCAACAGCUCGGAGCGCCAUGUGCGUGCGUGCUUGUGCUGCGGCGUGGUGCGUGCCGUUCUAGUGCCUGAGGCCCUCUGCACGCGCGCCUGCCCGGACCGCGGUGUCAAGAUGGCCCAGGUAGCAUGCCAUAGCGGCACUUGGGCCGCUGAAAAUCGCAGCGCUCUGGCCACGCGGUGGCCAGGCGCCCGGCCACCCCACGUGUUGACGGGGCCACGAACGGGCCCUGAGCCCGUGUGGGGGCCGCACAAAUGCCCGCGGCUGUGUGAUCACGUCUUGCAACCCUAGACGUGAUGGCUGAGCUCCCUGGCCGGGCCGGGCGCUGGCCGCAGGCGCGUGUGUGGGCAUGCCGACAUGUUUGGCGGGUCGGCAUUUCGCUAGGCUUUGGACUACCCCGACUUCAAGGUGGCUUGUUUGCGGACAUUUGGGCCUACCUAUAUGCUGAUAGGGGAAUGGAGGAACCGACGCCAGGAAAAUGGCCAUUUUCAGCCUGACAUUGCGUCGCUCGCGCGAGGGUCCGUCGCGCGAGAAUUGCGCAAACAACUCCUGUUGCUGGCCCAAAUACAAUCUGACCCCUGCGGAGCCUGUAUUGAUAGACUAUAUGUAUAAUAUAAAUAAUCAUUAUGGUCACCGGCAACUGGGCAAACGUGUGCCAGGCUGUGCCGUGACUCGGUGCCUCCCCUCGUGACGCGCCGUCCAACCCGAACCACCAAACCCCUCCGCUGCGUCCCAACCCGCCCGCCACUCGUCCCUUGCCUCUUUCUAUGUAUACAUCAGCGGCCAGGACCAGAGCUCCGCAGAGUAGGUCGCAUAUGGGGGCCCCCGGGACGGCGCCCAGCCCAGGGGUGUGCGCAGGCUCCGAGGCUGGGCCCAGCACUGGCAGGGGCGGCCAGGGCUGGCAGCUCACGCCGCCAUGUGCGGAGUAAUGGCAUAUGCAUCACUACGUGCCUGAGCAGCGCAGAUCAGGGGGGCGCGGUGCAGCAGUGCGCCGACUGCGCCCCGCACCACUGUCCGCCGCACGAGGCACCGCCUGCGUGUGUGCCACGGCGGGGGAACGGGCACGCCACUUGGUGCAGGCGCGACGCCAUGCGGUAGUAACGUCAGGUUGGGGUCCCUAGGCUGUCAUGCAGCGUGGCGCAACGAGGGAGGGGCCGGAUUCAACGCGUGUGCCGGCGGGCGACACGCGCAGGCAACAGCUCGGAGCGCGCGUGCUUGUGCUGCGGCGUGGUGCGUGCCGUUCUAGUGCCUGAGGCCCUCUGCACGCGCGCCUGCCCGGACCGCGGUGUCAAGAUGGCCCAGGUAGCAUGCCAUAGCGGCACUUGGGCCGCUGAAAAUCGCAGCGCUCUGGCCACGCGGUGGCCAGGCGCCCGGCCACCCCACCUGUUGCCGGGGCCACGAACGGGCCCUGAGCCCGUGCGGGGGCCGCACAAAUGCCCGCGGCUGUGUGAUUACGUCUUGCAACCCUAGACGUGAUGGCUGAGCUCCCUGGCCGGGCCGGGCGCUGGCCGCAGGCGCGUGUGUGGGCAUGCCGACAUGUUUGGCGGGUCGGCAUUUCGCUAGGCUUUGGACUACCCCCACUUCAAGGUGGCUUGUUUGCGGACAUUUGGGCCUACCUAUAUGCUGAUAGGGGAAUGGAGGAACCGACGCCAGGAAAAUGGCCAUUUUCAGCCUGACAUUGCGUCGCUCGCGCGAGGGUCCGUCGCGCGAGAAUUGCGCAAACAACUCCUGUUGCUGGCCCAAAUACAACCUGAACCCUGCGGAGCCUGUAUUGAUAGACUAUAUGUAUAUGUAAAUAAUCAUUCCGGUCACCGGCAACUCGGCAAACGUGCGACAGGCUGUGCCGUGACUCGGUGCCUUCCCCGGUGAUGCGCUGUCGAUCCAACCCGAACCACCAAACCCGCUGCGUCCCAACCCGACCACGAUUCUUCCACAUGCCUUUGGCUAUGUAUACAUCAGCGGCCAGGACCAGAGCUCCGCAGAGCAGGUCGCACAUGGGGGCCCCCGGGACGGCGCCCAGCCAAGGGGUGUGCGCAGGCCCCGAGGCUGGGCCCAACAACAUAGUACGGUUUGUGGGCCUUCGGUUUGCACAGCGAAGAAUUCCCGCGUCGGGUACGCCCCAACCAAAAUUGAGACACCUGAUCAUUUCUAUAAAUGUGCAUAAUUUGCCCCUAGUAGUUCUGCUUGGGGGUCGCCUCCCGAAAUCUGCCCAUCCCUAUCAAAACCUGCUGGCGGAACCCCAGGGACAGUGUCCGAAACUUCAACUUUGGCGGCUCAGGACUUCCUCAUUAAAGGUACGUGUGUAAUGCUUUUCUGAACUCGACACUUUGGAGGCAUGGGGUAAUUAAGAUUCUGAGCUUCUACUACCCCCUGACAGAUCCUUAACAAACUUCCAUGCUCCCUGACUAAACACACCUUUUAAUUUUAUUGUAUCCAUUCUACACUGCAACCUACACCGCAGACAUGUAUUUCCUUUUUCUGCUGGUGCUUUCCCGUGCAUUGAACUCACCAUCCAAUCAUGGAAUGUGAUGUUCACUCCUGGGGCGGGCAGCAAUAGAAGCAUGGGGCUAUGCAGCCGCGCCGUUCUGGGGCCUAGGUACCAUUCACCAUCUAGGUCCCCAACAGUCCCGGCCCAGUGGUCUCACCAUUGGUAUAUCAUAUCUACUGUCUGCCCGGCCAUCCAACAGCCGCGCCCGGGCAGCAACUACCCCCCCCCUCCCCGCUAAAAAGCAACAAAACGCACAGAAACCGUGUCCAGCGCAUCUCCAGCAGCAGGGUGAGUGGGCGAGAAAUCAAUGCACAGGCGGCAUGUGCCCCUCUGGCCCUAACUGUGGCCGGUCCUUAUCAUCCCAACACGCCGCUGCAGAAGUCACACACUUGGCACGCACUUGCCGCAAAGUUUCACCAAACGCUCCAGGCAGGGUCACUGAUCCCGCAAAUAAAUGAUGACACGGUACAUGACAAGUCACCUCUUACCCAAUUGUCCCCCCCCCCCCCCCCGCAGAAUAGGGGUGGCUCCUCGUUCCUUUGCUUGCCCUCCUUCAAAAACUAUUGUACGUUCAAUGCAGCAAGUGCACUCCGCGUGAUGCUCACCUGCUACACAAAUGGUACGUUCUCAUCACACAUGCCCAAACUAACAUUAUUAAUCCCAUCUUUCUUUUUACGUAGCUAGGGUAAUGCUCACCUGCUACACCACAACUACCAUGGCACUAAGCUACUGCCUUUAAUUGUCCCAGGCUACCAGCCAGCAGCCAGCUACGACCAUGCUCCUACCUCCAUAUUCAUUAUUGCAAAUUCAGUCCACAACACAUCGGCACCAUAGGUAUGCUCAUAGCCGAUCGUGCCCUGCUGCCCUGUCUAAGUGACUGCCUUUCUAGUGGCGACCUGCAGGGUUGGGCUGCUUCAAACAAGUCUUAAACGUGAAGCCGGGCUUCCCAAUUGGCGCAGACCACACCAUGGCCGUCACACCCGCCGACCCCGCUUGUGGCAGCUGGCAGGUGCGCAACAGUGUCUCCGCCUGGCACGUGCCAUCGUACGCCACCUCUGCCGCCGCAUAGCGUGUGUACGACACGCUCUGACCCACGUCAUAGUCAUCAUCGGCUGUCAGGCCCAGAUCCGCCACCUCGGGAGCUGCAGGGUUGCAGCGCUGGUAGCAGUUCUCGGCAGGGAAGAGGUCCAGCACGGAUUCGCUGUCGAUGAGCUUGUUGGUGGUGGCGUCGUAGAACCUGCCAGCACGGCACACCAGCCUGAACCGGCGACCGGAGCAGACGUCGUCGUACCGAACGCUUGGCUCAGCAUAGCGCAUGAAGCUGACAGUUUGGCCGCCCGGGGCCAACACGCCCGGUGGCAGCAGUGGGUCGCCAUUGCAGUUGUCAGGCGGUGGUGCAGGGCUGGGCGGGCGCAGAGGUGCAGGAGCGGGGGGCACCUCACCAAAGCGCCGGUACACCAUCCGUGCGAUCGCCAGCAGCACCUGGCCCCACGCGGUGUUCUCGCCCGCAGACCAGUCAUACGCCAGGUAGAAGAGUUUACCGCCUGCUGAGCCCACAGACCAAGCGUGUACAGCGCUGGCACUUUUGGAAUACCCGUACGUUUCGCUGGUCCAGUCAUACAUGUACACGGACUGGCCGCCAGUACUUGCAGUGUCACAGCCUCUCAGUGGCCACGAGGAGCCAGGUACCAUAUUUGGUAGGGAACUGGUGUCCCGAGGCCAGUUAGCUGAUCGAAUGGUUUGUCCGGCAACAUACUGCGCAUCGGCGCUUUCUUCAACCAAGAUACUGGUAGGACUGCAGCAAUGCUGGUACAUGUAUGCCGCCGUGUCCUGUUGUUUCCCCAGGUUGCAGUAGCUGGCGAAUCCAGCCGGCCAUGUACCUGUGCUGUCUGACUGAGCCUGGAUAAAUAAACUUGCUAGCUCGCGGGCAUCCAAUCCGUCUGGGUCAAAGGGAGACACAGUGCGAAAGGUGCCCACCACAACCACAAUGCCGCCAGCCUUCAAAUAACGCUGAAUAUGUGUCAUGUUUUCAUAUCCAGUAAGGCCUGAUCCACGCCGAGGAGGAAUAACCAGGACAGGUGCCCAAUCAACAUCCACCAGCGCAUCCUGAAAGCUCUUGUCAGUCAGGCCGUUAGCCAGCGAGGUCACUGCCACGCCACCAAACAUAGAUGCCAUGCUCCAGACUUGGCGCUGAAGGGGAGCAAAUGUCGCAGCUAGGCCGUUUGGCACAUCCCCCACUACAUUCGGGUCUGCAUAGAGCAAGAUCUGUUGUGAGGUGGUGCUGAUUUGUGGUGGUGAAGGUGUGGGUUUUGGAGUGGCCUUGCGUUGACCUGUGCAAGCAAGUAAGGGGAUGAAGGUUUGCUUGCUUGGCAGGCUGAGACCCUCACGCUCAAAGCAUGCAUGAAAGUCAGCACACACCUUGGGUAGCAUUCAUGACAAGCUCCACAAGUAGCUGUAUCCAUGCGGAAUUAGUGCGCCCUCGUAAGUCAUCUGACACCCAAGCCAGCUGCCCGUCACGUACUGGAAACACCACCGAGCCAAGGGAAACUGGUGCAAACCUGCUACUCCAGUCUUGCCACCAAUAUCCUGUCUCACGUCCAAGCUGACACAGGUCCAGGUUGGAUGAAGGGCACGACAAUGAUGUUCCAGCUGGAAUGAAGCGACGGACAGCUGCCGGUAGCUGGGUAGCAGAUUCUGGCACCAUGUUUUGGUUGUAUUUGCUUCCGGUUCCAAGCUGGCCGUACCCAUUAGAACCCCAGCAAUGCAGGUCUGGUUCACCAGUUGCCACCACCUGCAUCAACAGGCAUGUAUGGUAGGCGCCAGCCACGAUGCUGACUGCAUGCCUGCUGCCACUGGCAAGCAGUCGUGAAACAGCUUUGACAAGCUGGGGUGUAUUCCGGUUAGUUGUAUCGCCAAGGCCAAGCUCUCCACCGGAAUUAUCCCCCCAGCAAUAGACUUCUUGAAGGCGUGUAGAUACUGCAUCAACAAGAAUGCAUGUGUGUGCAGUACCAACUGCAAGGCCUGAGACCCGUCUGUUGUUGCCCAGUAUUGUCAGUGUUGGUACUAGUGUAGGGACGGUGCGGUCAGACCAGUCGCCGAGACCCAGAGCUCCUUGAAGAUUACCACCCCAACAGUAUAGCUCAAAAGUGCUGGUUGCAGUGACUUGCAUAACGAGGCAUGUAUGGUACGCGCCAAGAUCUAGAUGGAUGACUUUGCGACUGCCAUCGCUCAGCCCAGCCAUAGUCACGCGUUCAGGAAUAGAGCGUUUGUUGGUAUCUCCAACACCCAGUUGCCCAUUGUAGUUUGAACCCCAGCAGUAGAGGUCCUGGGCUCCAUCAGCAACAGCCUGGACCACAAUGCAUGAAUGGGCCUCACUGAUGGCCAGAGUGACAUACUUGUGGGUGCCAGUCAUCAAAAGGCUCCCCACUGAGCUGGAAACAUAUUGAAAGUUGCUUGUGUAUGCAGAUGUGUCCAUAAUUCCUAGCUGGCCAUAGUCAUUGUUGCCCCGGCAUGCAAGGGCUUGUCCAUAUGGUGCAUAUAAAUUAUAUUCAGUAAUAGUGCACAUGGUAGCCCCGCUACUUGCCACCGUGUAAAUGUAACGAUAUGCAUUAAUAUUUAUCAACUCAGGUGCAGUAAGAAGUGAUGUUGGUAUUGUAUACAUGGCUGCCGCAAUAUAGCUGCUAGACCGCUGCAUACCCCAACAGUAUAGCCGCUGUGACUUUGGAGCAGCAACAGACUCAACCAGAACGCAUGCACAGGUAGUUCCAGAAACCAUGUUGACCACCCUGUAGGCUCCACUGUCCAGGAGCGCUGCUAGUGUUGAGCCCAUACGCUGCAGGGUGGUGGAACCUGACAGGUCACCCAUGCAGUACAACUCUUGAGUGCCAGCAGGUGCAUACAAGAAGCAGGUAUGCCCAUAGCCUGCAGAGAGAAACCAGUCACUCUGAACCUUGCAAUUUGCUAUGGUGGGUGUGUACAGCUUGAGUGUCUCGCCGCUUAUAAUGCUGAUUGAUGAAAGCUGCGGUCGUGACUCCAAUUUACAAGUGUUGCCUUCCACAAGAUAGUCAAUCAGGCGUGGCUGACCGGAUGCCACACCACUGCUGCUGGUGACCGACAUGUCCAUAGACCCCAUCAACACGACCAGGCCCCCCGCUUGCAAGUAUGGCAGAAGCAAAGCAUAGUCUUCAUGAUCAGCAUACCAGCUGCGAAGGUCUUGGCGCUGUGGCGGUAUGAUGUAAACACGAGUUCCAGCUGUCACACGGGAUAUGGCAGCCUGUGACUGAACCUCACUAACAGAGAAGGGUGGAUCAAAUGCAUCUGCAACUUGCUUCAUUCGUUGGAGAGCGGCUGCUGCAUCAGAAGGACCCACAACAUCGGGGUUUGUGUAGACCAGGAUGGAAGGCUGGUUGGUUGGCAGUCGUGGAGGUGGUGGUGGAGAGGGGGCCCACUUGAUCUGCUGCGUCUUCUGAUGUGUGACCGCCACAACGGCUUUCAGCAGCCUUGACAUCUGGCUGUCCGAGCCAAGAUUCCAGUUAAGACCCGCAUAUAUCACUGCACCAGAUGAUAAACUGUCAUGAGGCCGCCAAAGAACCACCGGGGAGCCCCCUGCAGCAGUUUCCCCCCUGUUAGCCCCCUCCAGCUCAUAAAGAUGUAAGCCGCUGUCACACUUGACCAUGUUGCCCUCCAGCAGGGGCAAGCGGCGCGGCCACACACUGUUGCCGCCUGGACGCUGCCCAUUGUCAAGCCUGCAUGCACGCACAUGCCAGCAGUUAAUCAGGCGUGCACAAUGCACACAGGACACCAGCAGGGUGAGAAGGU
rnacentral:lncRNA from 1 species